rnacentral:rRNA from 1 species
GGUGAACGCUGGCGGUAGGCCUAACACAUGCAAGUCGAACGGCAGCACAGGAGAGCUUGCUCUCUGGGUGGCGAGUGGCGGACGGGUGAGGAAUACAUCGGAAUCUACUCUGUCGUGGGGGAUAACGUAGGGAAACUUACGCUAAUACCGCAUACGACCUACGGGUGAAAGCAGGGGACCUUCGGGCCUUGCGCGAUUGAAUGAGCCGAUGGCGGAUUAGCUAGUUGGCGGGGUAAAGGCCCACCAAGGCGACGAUCCGUAGCUGGUCUGAGGGGACGAUCGGCCACACUGGAACUGAGACACGGUCCAGACUCCUACGGGAGGCAGCAGUGGGGAAUAUUGGACAAUGGGCGCAAGCCUGAUCCAGCCAUACCGCGUGGGUGAAGAAGGCCUUCGGGUUGUAAAGCCCUUUUGUUGGGAAAGAAAUCCAGCUGGCUAAUACCCGGUUGGGAUGACGGUACCCAAAGAAUAAGCACCGGCUAACUUCGUGCCAGCCGCCGCCGUAA